rnacentral:lncRNA from 12 species
UGCUCGCCGACAGUGGGGGUGACGUGCCAGCCUAAGAAGGGCUUGUGCCGCUUGGCGACGCUGUCUUGGCAAACAGGUGGACUCCCUGCACCUGCACCUGCACCUGCACCUCCACCUGCACCUGCGAAGGGCGCGCGCGUCCCCCCCACCCCCCCACCCCCGCCCGCCUCGCGGCCUCAGGGGGCAGGGGUCUGCGGCGGGGUCGGCGCACCGGCCGCGGGGUGGCCGUCGGGCGCAGUUUCCCCGCGCUCCGCUGGGUCGCACUGUGGCCCCGCGGAUGCGCGCCCGGGCCGGGCAGGGGCGCUCGGGAGCGGCGGCGGCGGCGGCGGCGGGCGCUCCCCCAGGCCCAGCGCAGCCCAGGUGAGCGCCGGCGCGCGGGCCCCUGCGCAGGGCAGCAGACGGGGGUCGUGCAGGGGGCCGGGGACCGGUGGUGGCCCUGCCAGGACACAGGCCAAUUUCGUACACAUACGAUGCAUUGCAAAGAAAGGAGAAUAUGAAUUUCACUUCAGGAUGCAGCUUCCUUGGUCCCUGUUUUUUGCACAUGAUCAGUUGAUCUCCUUUGAUGUAUCUUGGGGUAAGUAUUCAUGCUUUUUGCACGUAAUGGAAAAAAAUAAGUCAACAAUUCAGUUCCUUAACAUUUUCACACUGUAGAGCUUGCCUAUAGACUAAAAAUAAAAAUUUUCCUUUUUAAAUAUAUAAAAUCUCU